CCGGUUGGCUUACCCAUGCUAGGUUGGGUUAACACUCAAAUGGCUUUUAAAGUGUGGAAGUCUAUCUGACUAUCUCUGUCUAGUUGUUCUCACAAAGUCCCCAAUGACAACCUGCGUCACCGCGCUCUCUCCCUUGAAAGUAUGCAAAUUAUGCUAGACGAUUAGAAGAUGUAUUGCAUGUGUGGCUGCGGAAUACAUGGCCAGGGACGAGCUGAUACAUGCAAGAAUGGCUUGGCUUAGGAACGCAUGGACAGGGGCUGGGAUGAAAGGAUGGAAUCAAGAUGGCACCCCCCGGGUUUUGGGUGCGGGUAGUCGCCCAAACCCAUUCUUGUCUUGAUAUUUUCUGCCUAAACCUAUACCCAUAUCCGCACCUUGGGUUUUAAACUGUUCCCGUACCCAUAUUUGUCCGGGUGCGGGUACCCGUAGGCAAAAAUACUCAUCUUGACCACCUUACCUAAUUCACACUUCACCAUGUAUGUUUCAGCAUUUCCGCAUUUAUCCACAAUAUUUCUGUAUGUUUACUUCAACAUUUCAGCGCGCGAGCACACGCACACACACAUACACACAUAUAUACAUGGGUAUGCAGGUAUUAGUAGGUAUUAGUAUAUGGGUAUGCAGGUACGCGGCUAUGGGUAUUGCCUUCCCAUACCCAUAUCUGGCUUAUCUGAUGGUACGAGUUUUCUCAUUUAUAACACACGGGUAUUUAUUUUUCCCAAACCCUUACCCUAAUAGGGUUAUUACCCGUCCGUUUCGCGGGUUGUCGGUACCCAUUGUCUGUUGAACUUAAAAUGGCCAGGUGCCUUCGACUUGCCGAACUGGGCCACGAUGUUGCCAUCUUGCAUGUUGCAUUCUAGCCCAUUUCCUUGAGGCGCUUCUUCCUCCUAAGCUGGCAGACACCCCUCGCGACGGCUGCGAUGUGGUGGCAAUGGGACGCUGCCGUACACGUCCCUCCUCCACCACCCAGUGCGGAGCUGCUUCCACCACCGUGACGCGGUACUGCGAGCUUCUUCGGCGGCACUGACUAGAGGUAGUUUUCAUUUCCCUUUUUCACCCACCGUUGCAAGCCUCUUCUUCAAGUGAUCCCAUUUCCACAUGUUUACUAGUUGUCAAUGCUAAUGGUUCAACUUUCUAUUUCACCGGUGAAGUUUGAAUUGGGUAAGGUGGUCGAGAUGGGUAUUUUUACCCACGGGAAUUACCUGCACCCUGCCAGGUACGCGUAUGAGAACAGUUUGAAACCCAAGGUGCGGGUGUGGGUACGGGUAUGCGUAUGAGAACAGUUUGAAAGCCAAGGUGCGGGUACGGAUUUGGGUAAAAAUAUCGAGACGGGCAUGGGUUUGGGCCACCAUUACCCGCACCCGAACCCGGCGUUUGCCAUGUGGACAAGUGGUCAAUGGAAUCAUUGUGUCGGUCCAUUGAACAUUCAUUGCAGAAAUGAAGAUGAUUGAGAAGCCGAAAGGGUAGUUGGAUGAACAAUAGAUGCUCUGCAUACAGACCCCGGGCCAGGCAAGACUAUUUCAUGGACCAUGGGUAAGAUGAAGGUUACAACGUUAGCAGGCAAUUGUAAAGGAUGUCACCAAAAUCUCUUGUGUUUUGAUGCUCACCUACCCCGGAUAUUAUUGGCAGGAUCUGUCAUACAUCACAUCACAUGCUGUGGAAUCUCAUCUACCAUGGCUAGAUACUGUGGCUGGACCGGUCUCUCUAACCUACCGUCAUUAGUGUGCGGACCCCAGGCUGAGUGUCAAUGUCAAGUGUACUCCGUUUGGUCUAGAUCUAAAUUGGUAGCCUUUAAAGGCAGAUCGACAGUCUGAUAGUCUUCCUGCGCCUUGAUAUUCUACUUGAACAGUACAUGUUUUCUGAGCAGCUAUGAGUCGUCGAGAAAUGGCUAUCUUACGUGAUGAACUGUAGAACAAGCUACAAGAUCCAAAAGCAACACCGAUGUUUCUUCCUCUAGAAUUUGAAAGGCAUCACAUGUGAUUUUUCCACUGAAUCGGACCUUGGCAGAGGUGGAUAUGGAGUGGUUUACAAGAUGAAUCUCUGGACCUUGAGUGGAAUAUGAGAUACGAGAUAAUCAAGGCAAUUUGCAGUGGUUUGUGUUUCCUUCAGGAAGAAUACCGUAUCCUUCAUCUGGACCUUAAGCCAGAAAAUAUAUUGAUGGACUUUAUGAUGAUGCCGAAAAUCGCGGAUUUUGGUUUGUCGAGUCUCUUUGGUGUGCAGCAAAUGCGAAUCUUCACUGAUAAUCCUGCAGGAAACAUGAAUAUAUGGCACCAGAAUACUUACUUCAAGGUGUAAUCUCAAGCAAGGCAGAUAUCUUCAGUCUGGGUGUUAUAAUCACAGAGAUUAUCACAGGUUGUACAGCCCCCACAGUACUGCUACAUCUUGUCAGCAUUUCAUAGAGAAUCUAAGAUGAACUAUUCUAACC